rnacentral:rRNA from 1 species
CGCCCAACAGCUAGCCCACCUAAACAAUUUCAACACCCCCUUGUUAAUACCCCCUAAAUACCCUAGUAUUUAACUUAACCAAACCAUUUUUCCCCCUUAGUAUAGGCGAUAGAAAAGGGACUACGGCGCAAUAGAGAAAGUACCGCAAGGGAACGCUGAAAGAGAAGUGAAACAACCCAGUAAAGCCCAAAAAAGCAGAGAUUAAACCUCGUACCUUUUGCAUCAUGAUUUAGCGAGUGUACCCCAAGCAAAGAGCACUUUAGUUUGACGUCCCGAAACUACGUGAGCUACUCCAAGACAGCCUAAUUAAUAGGGCGUACCCGUCUCUGUUGCAAAAGAGUGGGGAGAGCUUUGAGUAGAGGUGACAAACCUACCGAACCUAGUAAUAGCUGGUUGCCCAAGAAAUGAAUAGAAGUUCAGCCUUUUGGCUUCUCUUUUCCCCCUAGUUUAACCCCUAUUGAUGCAUUAAAGAAACCAAAAGAGUUAGUCAAAGGGGGUACAGCCCCUUUGAAUCAAGACACAACUUUAUCAGGCGGGUAAAGAUCAUA